rnacentral:piRNA from 1 species
UGCACUUGAGUGCUUUGUUUCCUAGCUGGU